GACGUAGGGCGCGAGCGUUGUCCGGAUUUAUUGGGCGUAAAGAGCUCGUAGGCGGCUUGUCGCGUCGACUGUGAAAACCCGCGGCUCAACUGCGGGCCUGCAGCCGAUACGGGCAGGCUAGAGUUCGGUAGGGGAGACUGGAAUUCCCAGUGUAGCGGUGAAAUGCGUAGAUAUUGGGAGGAACACCAGUGGCGAAGGCGGCUCACUGGACCGGAACUGACGCUGAGGCGCGAAAGCGUGGGGAGCAAACAGGG
rnacentral:rRNA from 1 species